rnacentral:RNase_P_RNA from 18 species
UAUGCGGAGUGGGUAAACGCGGUAUUUAAGUAACUAAUACUGAGGAAAGUCCGUACCUCUAAAGGGCUUCAUGCAAGCUAACGGCUUGAAGGCGAAAGCCUAUGGAAAGUGCAGCAGAAAAUAUACCGCCAAUUUGGUAAGGGUGAAAAGGCAUGGUAAGAGCAUACCGCAUUUAUGGCGACAUGAAUGGCAGUGUAAACCCCAUGAGAGGCAAGAGCAAACAGAAACGGAUUGCCCUUUUCCUAUGUUUCAGGUGGCUCGCUAAAGCAUUGUAGUGAUAUAAUGCGUAGAUAAAUGUUUACCUUAAAUGACAGAAUACGGCUUAUAGCUCCGCUUUUUAU